rnacentral:Y_RNA from 1 species
AGCUGGUCUGAGUGCAGGGUUAUUUACAACUAAUUGACUACAAUGAGUUACAGUUUUUUUGUUCCUUGUCCACUUCUACUGCUUCACUUGAGUAGCCUUAA